AUGCAGGAUAGGUCGGGAAGCCAGGGGUUUCCUGUUACCGCAAAUCCCCUUUAGGCGGGACCGAAAAACUGGGAAAGAGGGAACUGAAUUUUUGGAAGGACUGGUUUGAAAGCGUCGAAGCGCUGUCCUGCUUGGUGGAAAUCCAAUCGAAUCGGGUCAGGCCGGAAGGAGCAGCCCUAAGUUUGUGUUUUCAUGCUAGCAGAAAACGGCGUGGAGCAAUCGAGUCGGAAACCUCCAGGGAUUCGUUUCAGCGAUUCCGGAACUUCCUGCAU
rnacentral:SRP_RNA from 1 species